rnacentral:misc_RNA from 1 species
AGUCCACACAAAAAGCAUGGAAUUCUGAACAGGUUCCAAGAACAUAUAAUUCAGCUACUAAGCAUAUAUACAUAAAGAACAGACAUUUUUUCAAAUGCUUCAAGAUGCAUAAAUUAUAUAUGAAUGACAAUUUACUGAGUCACAAUAUAUAGCAAGAAUACACAUAUAAGGUAUUUCUACACAACUUCUAUGAAGAUGCAUGAGGUUUAACUUUCCUAUGUUAGGUGCCACACAUUACUGCCAGUACUCUCCAUUCAAAUGCCAGCAGCAAUCUUGCCUAACUAUAUUGAAUAUUGAUAAUUUCAAGCAGGGAAAUGAUAAAAAGAAAAUUUUCGUUUUGUGCACAAGUCAAUAACCUGACUUCUGUGCAAGUCCAUCAAGGCUUAGUUAUGUGUUCAAAGACACAAUGUUUCUCACACGAUGGUUUAUGGCAUUACCAUUAAUCUAUCUACCCAGGGUACCUUGCCUUCUUAAAAAGUUUCUUUCAUUUAGUGGAGCAGUCAAGUGAUAGAAAUCAAGUGUUGGCCUACCAUCUAAAUGUUUACUAGCAAGAGCAUGUAUUAGCAAGUCAGUAAAGAAAACGCUUUGAACAUAAUGUGAUUCCUUCAUGUGAGGACUGGAGGUAAUUCUAAGAGUUAACUUAUGUACAAAUGGAGGAGCAAUUUAGUGUAUAAUCAAUAGUGAAGUCACCCCUAUCAAUUUUACAAAGGUUAUUGAAGAUAAAGGCUACUUUUAAGUUUAACAUUGUAUUACAGCAUAUGAUACACAGUUACACACCAUGUCAUUGAUCAUAAUCAGGUUUAGGUGGAUUGUUUUAUUUAUGGUAAGGGAAAUGAAAAUGAAAUAAAUGAAGUUAAAAACAAACAAACAAACAAACAAGGAACUAACUCUUCUGACUGAAUAUGAAAAAGCCCAUAAAACAACGAGCUAAUAUCAUUUCUCCUUUAUAGAUUGAGAUCUUCAAACCUAUUGCACAAAUAGCUAGCAUAGCAGCCACUACAACUUAAUUAAUUGUUAAUUGAAAACAAUUUGAGACAAGCAACUUGAAUUUUCUUCUUUCAUACAACCAAGGACAAUACAAUAAUCAAAACUUUGGUCUUGCAUAUACUUUGACGAAUUUUUAAAUAAAAUCACUGUUAUGGAUGAAAGUUAUGUUGUAACUAACAAAUUCUUUGAUGAACUUCUCUUUGUAUGAUAAUAUUAUCCACCUUUUGAUGAAUGCAUUCAUUUCUCAUUUUAUCUUUGAGCAUUUCCAUUUUAUAAAAAUAUUUGAUGUUAUCAUUCUCUUGUAGUUGCAAAUCCCAAUUUAUACAUAAAAAUUUUUCUGCAUCCCAUUUAUUGCACCCAAAUUUACCAUUCAACUUGGUAGAUCCUCUACAAUCACCACCCCACUAACUAUAACAGCAUUCUCCUCAACAUUCCAAUGCUAAUAAACAAUCCAUUCAACUGAAGAAAAUUAUCAUUCUUAGAUAUUUCUUAGUUACCAGGUUUCAGUACACUUUCAUGCCCAUCCAUUUAUUUAUUGAACUCGACCAUUUCCCUUUUUUUGGGUUACUUCAGAAAUUCUAAAAGGAGAUAGAAGCUGUCAGGGUUUGAACCUGUCUAUUUAAUUUCCUUUUAGUUUAGGAAAGCAUGUUGCUAUUGGCUGCAUGUGAAGAUUUGUAUAGCUUGGUGAAGUGCUCCACCUACAAGCAGGGUUUUAGAUAACGGCCAACACGUAAUGUAAUGGCUAUUAUUUAUAGGUUUUUUGGGGUACCAUUACCGAUAGCCCCCUUUAAUAACCGCAGAAAAAAAUUACAAUGGGUAAUGGCUGUUACCUACAUGGGCAGAUAAGGAUUCUUCUUAUUUGUGGCGCAGAGAGGCAGAGAGCUUAUUUUGUUUCUAUUUUCUACACUUCUCCAUCUUUUUCUCUCAAAUUUCCUAUCUCAAAUAUUCUACCUACCUUCAGAAAUCUUCAUUUCUUGAGCUAAGACCAUCAAAUAGUGAAGGUUUAUUUG